CCUACGGGGGGCAGCAGUGAGGAAUAUUGGUCAAUGGCCGGAAGGCUGAACCAGCCAUGCCGCGUGAAGGUCAGUGCCCUAUGGGCGUUAAACUUCUUUUGUGCGGGAGCAAUAAUGGUCACGUGUGGCCAGACGAGAGUACCGUACGAAUAAGCAUCGGCUAACUCCGUGCAAGCAGCCGCGGUAAGACUGGGGAUGCAAGCGUUAUCCGGAAUUAUUGGGUUUGAAGGGUGCGUAGGCUGUGAGGUAAGUCAGCGGUGAAAUGCCCCCGCUCAACGGGGUGAAGGACCAUUGAUACUGCCUUGCUGGAAUGCGGGUGCCGUGGGAGGAAUGUGUGGUGUAGCGGUGGAAUGCAUAGAGAUCACACAGAACACCGAUUGCGAAGGCAUCUCACGAAUCCGCGAUUGACGCUGAUGCACGAAAGCGUGGGUAUCAAACAGGAUUAGAUACCCCGGUAGUC
rnacentral:rRNA from 1 species